UAUGUAGGUCCCGAGCGUUGUCCGGAUUUAUUGGGCGUAAAGCGAGCGCAGGUGGUUUAUUAAGUCUGGUGUAAAAGGCGGUGGCUCAACCAUUGUAUGCAUUGGAAACUGGUAGACUUGAGUGCAGGAGAGGAGAGUGGAAUUCCAUGUGUAGCGGUGAAAUGCGUAGAUAUAUGGAGGAACACCGGUGGCGAAAGCGGCUCUCUGGCCUGUAACUGACACUGAGGCUCGAAAGUGUGGGGAGCAAACAGG
rnacentral:rRNA from 1 species